GACGAACGCUGGCGGCGUGCUUAACACAUGCAAGUCGAACGGAAAGGCCCUGCUUUUGUGGGGUGCUCGAGUGGCGAACGGGUGAGUAACACGUGAGUAACCUGCCCUUGACUUUGGGAUAACUUCAGGAAACUGGGGCUAAUACCGGAUAGGAGCUCCUGCUGCAUGGUGGGGGUUGGAAAGUUUCGGCGGUUGGGGAUGGACUCGCGGCUUAUCAGCUUGUUGGUGGGGUAGUGGCUUACCAAGGCUUUGACGAGUAGCCGGCCUGAGAGGGUGACCGGCCACAUUGGGACUGAGAUACGGCCCAGACUCCUACGGGAGGCAGCAGUGGGGAAUAUUGCACAAUGGGCGGAAGCCUGAUGCAGCAACGCCGCGUGCGGGAUGACGGCCUUCGGGUUGUAAACCGCUUUCGCCUGUGACGAAGCGUGAGUGACGGUAAUGGGUAAAGAAGCACCGGCUAACUACGUGCCAGCAGCCGCGGUGAUACGUAGGGUGCGAGCGUUGUCCGGAUUUAUUGGGCGUAAAGGGCUCGUAGGUGGUUGAUCGCGUCGGAAGUGUAAUCUUGGGGCUUAACCCUGAGCGUGCUUUCGAUACGGGUUGACUUGAGGAAGGUAGGGGAGAAUGGAAUUCCUGGUGGAGCGGUGGAAUGCGCAGAUAUCAGGAGGAACACCAGUGGCGAAGGCGGUUCUCUGGGCCUUUCCUGACGCUGAGGAGCGAAAGCGUGGGGAGCGAACAGGCUUAGAUACCCUGGUAGUCCACGCUGUAAACGGUGGGUACUAGGUGUGGGGUCCAUUCCACGGGUUCCGUGCCGUAGCUAACGCUUUAAGUACCCCGCCUGGGGAGUACGGCCGCAAGGCUAAAACUCAAAGGAAUUGACGGGGCCCCGCACAAGCGGCGGAGCAUGCGGAUUAAUUCGAUGCAACGCGUAGAACCUUACCUGGGUUUGACAUGGAUCGGGAGCGCUCAGAGAUGGGUGUGCCUCUUUUGGGGUCGGUUCACAGGUGGUGCAUGGCUGUCGUCAGCUCGUGUCGUGAGAUGCUGGGUUAAGUCCCGCAACGAGCGCAACCCUUGUUCACUGUUGCCAGCACGUUAUGGUGGGGACUCAGUGGAGACCGCCGGGGUCAACUCGGAGGAAGGUGGGGAUGACGUCAAGUCAUCAUGCCCCUUAUGUCCAGGGCUUCACGCAUGCUACAAUGGCUGGUACAGAGAGUGGCGAGCCUGUGAGGGUGAGCGAAUCUCGGAAAGCCGGUCUCAGUUCGGAUUGGGGUCUGCAACUCGACCUCAUGAAGUCGGAGUCGCUAGUAAUCGCAGAUCAGCAACGCUGCGGUGAAUACGUUCCCGGG
rnacentral:rRNA from 1 species